rnacentral:lncRNA from 1 species
GACCUAAUACUCAACAAAGUAAUAGGCAAUAGCUGGUCCUAGUACAGGUAGGUUUCCCCUCAUGGUUUUUUGUUCAGCUGCAGUUUCAUUCAUUCCAUCUUCCCAGAGCUCUGGGACAGUAUGUGGUGUCCAGGUGAUCUUCAACCCCUUUGCCACCAAUUGUGCCACCCCAAACAUUAACCCAUUACCAGACUCUUUGAUGAUUGGGAUCCCAAAUCUGGGAAUGAUUUUCUUUAGGAGACGGUGCACCUUCUCUUCAUUAGUAAAGAAGGCCUCUACCCAGCCUGAGAAUGCAUACAUAAAGAGUAAUAGAUACUUGCAGUCAAAGAUUGAGGAAGCUCAGUGAAGUUCACAAGUCAGUUUUCAAAUGGGACUCCUCCAACACUCUGUACCCUAGAAAAGAACUUAGAUCCCCAGUGUAGGUUAUUUCAGGAACAUGAUUCACAUGGUCUGCACACCUGGGCUAAACUGUGGAGUCAAGGGAUGUAGAAAUGUCAGCCUAAUGUGGCCUCAAGAGCUGGCCAGCUAGGAGACAGGGUCUCACUAUGUAGCCCUGGCUGUCCUGGAACUCACAGAGAUCAACCUGCCUCUGCCUCCCAAGUGCUGGGAUUAAAGGUGUGAGCCACCACUGAGUUGACUAGGCACUUUGUAGUCUUUAAAGUCUCAUGUAUGUGGACAGUGGUGAAGGCAUAUUUGAGAGUAUAUGUGUAUACUGACACACAUCCCUGCUGCCAAUAGCAGGGCUCAGGUCAGUGAGAUGAGUUCUGCCUUUUGUGCUGAGGUUGCCUUUGGCAGAGAUUUCAUCUCAAUGAUGGAACUCAAGUUGACAAUGAAGUAUCGUGAAAGAUAUUCUCCCUAUCACAAAACUGCUACCAUUUGUCAAAUACUCAGCAUCCAGGGUCCUUGAGAGUUAAGUUCAAUUGGUAAGAAAAUACCUCAUCCGUGACUUUGAUGCAGUCAUGGUCUUGCUGGUCUAGAUCAACAAAUACUAGGGUCUACUAGAGUUUGAGGUCCACACUACUUCUAGGUGAAUAUUCAGGUUCUCACACAUUUCCUGGUACUUGACCAUCCAGGCAUUAGUUAGCCAGUAUUGUCCCUUGCACUCCAUUAAUGUCAGUACUGGGUGUGGCACUAAGACUAUUAAUUCUUUUCCCAUAGUCAAUCUGUCAGCCUCUAACACUAGGAUGGCAAUGACAGUGAGUGCCUAGGAGCCAGGGUGGCCAGGCUUGGGGAAUGGAGUUGAUUGGAAAGGUAUGCCACUAGGCAAUGCCACGACACCAACAUUUGUGGAAGGAACUCCACCCAUCCUAAUGCCAACAUGUUCAUGCAUGCACACGAGUGUGUGUAGACAAGUCUGAAUGUCCUAAGGUCAGACACAUCAGUGAGGACUUUCUUAAUAUCUUCAAAAGCCUUCUGUUGUGCUUGUUCCUAUGGCAGAGGGUCUUGCUCUCUUCCUUUGUGGUCUCAUAUAGUCAUUUUGACAAGACAGGGAAAUUAGAUAUUCAGAUUCUACCAAAAUCUGUGGCCCUGAGGAACUCCCAAACCUAGAGUUAGGUCGAUGAAACCUCGAUAACCAACAGCUGGGCUGAGUCAAUGCUCCUCUUGGGAUAGGUGAGAACCAAGGCAUUUGACUUUUUCUUGACAGAUUUGCAUCUGUUUUCUUUCAAAUCAUGUAGCCACCUCCCACAGAAGGGUACAGAGCAGUUGUUUUCAUUCUCCAUAAUCUUCCUGCACCUGUCUGGCCAGCAGUAGCUCAUCUACCCACUGGAGCAGAGUUCAGCCAUGCUGAUCUGCUGGGAAGGCUUUUAAAUCAGAGGCUACCUCAGUGCCAAAAAUAGUUUGAGAAGUUUUGAAUCAUUGAGGCAGUCUAGUCCACAUUAACUGGCCCUUGUCAUCCUUUUCAGGUUUCUUCUAUUGGAAGGUGAGGAUUGGUUGGCUCUGAGGGGCCAGGUGGAUACAGAAAAAGGCAUCCAUGCUUGGCAUUGGUGGUGCACGCCUUUAAUCCCAGCACUGAGAGGCAGAGGCUACAGACCACUGGGUGUGGGAUAACAGUCGCCUUGUUUAGGGCUCAUAGGUCCUGACCUGGCCAACAGCCAUCCAUUCCUGUUUAUAGCCAGACAGGUUGUAUUCCGACUAAAACAAUUUGUUUUGUGUUGUACAACAGCAGACCCCUGGAAGCUACAGCUGUGGCAACAUGAGAAUAGAGGAUGUACUUAGCAGGGGGUUGGGGAACGUCUAGGUGCACUAAAACUGGGUCAGAAUGGAGUUACUUUGGGCAAUUCAAUAUAAGAUGCUGAAGUGUUUGAGUGUGGCAGAUGCACACCCUCUCUCAGGCUUUCAGCCACCCCUAGGUUACCUGUAAUACCACCACAAUGUAAAUGCUGCCAAUAAUUGUUAUGAUGUAUGGGGUAAGGAAAAAGUAUAUGUAUGUCCCUCAGAAAUGGAAAUUUUAUUUGUUUAUUAUCUACUUAUUUGUUCAUUUGAUUUUGAGACCAUGUCUCACUGUAUGACCCCUGCUGGCAUGGAACUUGAUUUGUGGACUAGGAACUCAUAAAGACCAGCCUGUCAGACUGGAGAGAUGGCUCAGAGGUUAAGAGCACCGACUGCUCUUCCAGAGGUCCUGAGUUCAAUUCCCAGCAAUCACGUGGUGGCUCACAACCAUCCCUUAUGAGAUCUGGUGCCCUCUCCUGGUGUGCAGAUAUACAUGGAAGCAGAAUGUUGUACACAUGAUAAAUAAAUAAAUAAAAACCUUAAAAAAUAAUCAGCCUGUCUCUGCUGGGAUUAACACCUCCCAGCUGCCUUCCUAUCAUUUCAAGGAAACAGUCUCACAGCAGAUUGCCUGGUCCUCUGGCUAGUCUCAUCCUUUAUAAACCUCAUGCAAUUUGCCCAGGUCUUUCUGUGACAUGUGUAUUAAUCAAUCUCAUUUGGGAAAAAUCCAGCCAUCACACUCUAGGGCAAAGUCCUUUUUUAAUUUUUAAAAACUUGUUUUGUAUUUAUUUUUAUGUUUAUGUGUAUGGAUGUUUUGCCUGCAUGUAUGCCUGUUUACCAUGUGCAUGCAGUGUCCAAGGAGGCCAGAAGAGGGCGAUGUAUCC